rnacentral:rRNA from 1 species
AGGGCGUACGGUGGAUGCCUAGGCUCUCACAGGCGAUGAAGGACGUGAUAAGCUGCGAUAAGCUUCGGGGAGGUGCAAAUGACCUUUGAUCCGGAGAUUUCCGAAUGGGACAACCCGGCAGGCUGAAGGCCUGUCAUCCGAUGCAUAUCGGAGGCAAACGCGGGGAACUGAAACAUCUUAGUACCCGCAGGAAGAGAAAAUAAAAAUGAUUCCCCUAGUAGUGGCGAGCGAACGGGGAAGAGCCCAAACCGCUGCGGUUCCGGCCGCGGCGGGGUUGUAGGACUGCGACAUCGAGAAGAAGAAGUGAGUGGAACGCGCUGGAAAGUGCGGCCAUAGCGGGUGAUAGCCCCUUACACGAAGCCUCUUUCAUCGUAGCAAUAUCCUGAGUAGCGCGGGACACGUGAAAUCCUGUGUGAAUCCGGCGGGCCCAUCCGCCAAGGCUAAAUACUCGUGAGAGACCGAUAGUGAACCAGUACCGUGAGGGAAAGGUGAAAAGCACCGCGCGUAGCGGAGUGAAAUAGUCCCUGAACCCGUACGCCUACAAGCGGUCGGAGCAACAUUAUGUUGUGACGGCGUGCCUUUUGCAUAAUGAACCUACGAGUUGCCGUCGCCGGCGAGGUUAAGCGCAAGGAUGCGCGCAGCCGAAGCGAAAGCGAGUCUUAAACGGGCGCAUAGUCCGCGGCGGCAGACGCGAAACCGAGUGAUCUACCCUUGUCCAGGCUGAAGUCCGGGUAACACCGGAUGGAGGGCCGAACCAAUAAGCGUUGAAAAGCUUCUGGAUGAGGUGAGGGUAGGAGUGAAAGGCCAAUCAAACUCGGAGAUAGCUCGUACUCCCCGAAAUGCAUUUAGGUGCAGCCCCCGUUGUUUCCUGCAUGAGGUAGAGCGACUGAUCGGAUGCGAGGGCUUCACCGCCUAUCAAGUCCGGACAAACUCCGAAUGCGUGCAGGUUAGAGACGGGGAGUGAGGGCAUGGGUGCUAAGGUCCGUGCCCGAGAGGAGAAGAAUCCAGACCGCCGGCUAAGGUCCCGAAUUACAGGUUAAGUUAGUCUAACGAAGUGUUGUCCCGAAGACAGCUAGGAUGUUGGCUUGGAAGCAGCCAUUCAUUCAAAGAGUGCGUAACAGCUCACUAGUCGAGGGUCCGGGCAUGGAUAAUAAUCGGGUAUAAGGCAGACACCGAAGGCGCGGGAUAGCAAUUAUAAAAGUAUCGGUAGGGGAGCAUACUCACAGCGUCGAAUGGUGUACGUAAGUUAUCCUGGAGCGGUGAGUAAAGCAAAUGUAGGAAUAAGUAACGAUAAGGAGGGUUAGAUUCCCUCCCGCUGUAAGACCAAGGUUUCCCGGGCAAUGCCAAUCAGCCCGGGGUCAGUCGGGUCCUAAGUCUAAGCCGAACGGCGAUGGCGAUGGCAGAGACGGUUAAUAUUCCGUCACUGCCGCAUGGGGCGACGUGGAGACGGAGCAGUGAAACCACCGCGGGGCGACGGAAGUCCCCGUUGAAGAGUGUAGGCGUUGAGGAUGGCAGGCAAAUCCACCAUCCGAGCUGAACUUGACAGUACGGAGUCCUCCUCGGAGGAAUCUGAUAGUGUGGGUAAUCAUACUCCCGAGAAAAUCCGCUAAGCUUAACCCAUGCGGCACCCGUACCGCAAACGGACACACGUGGUCGGGUAGAACAUACUAAGGCGUUGAGAGAUUCAUGGUUAAGGAACUAGGCAAACUGACCCCGUAACUUCGGGAUAAGGGGUCCUCGUGAAAGCGAGGCGCAGAGAAUAGGUCCAGGCAACUGUUUAACAAAAACACAGGGCUGUGCAAAUUCGAAAGAUGAAGUAUACAGCCUGACACCUGCCCGGUGCUGGAAGGUUAAGAGGAGAUGUCACCGCAAGGGAAGCAUCGAAUUGAAGCCCCAGUAAACGGCGGCCGUAACUAUAACGGUCCUAAGGUAGCGAAAUUCCUUGUCGGGUAAGUUCCGACCUGCACGAAUGGUGUAAUGAUCUGGACACUGUCUCAACCGUGAGCUCGGUGAAAUUGUAGUAUCGGUGAAGAUGCCGAUUACCCGCGAUGGGACGAAAAGACCCCGUGAACCUUUACUGCAGCUUAACGUUGUGACCGGGCAGCGGAUGUGUAGGAUAGGCCGGAGGCAAUGAAGAGGGCACGCCAGUGUUCUUGGAGCCGCCGUUGAAAUACGGCCCUUCCUCUGUUUGGUCCCUAACUCGCGAUGCGAGGACCGCGUUUGGCGGGCAGUUUGACUGGGGUGGUCGCCUCCAAAAGCGUAACGGAGGCUUCUAAAGGUGCCCUCAGACCGAUUGGUAACCGGUCGUAGAGUGUAAUGGCAAAAGGGCGCUUGACUGGGAGGCCGACAAGCCGAUCAGGUGGGAAACCAGAGCAUAGUGAUCCGGUGGUUCCGUAUGGAAGGGCCAUCGCUCAAAGGAUAAAAGGUACUCCGGGGAUAACAGGCUGAUCCCUCCCAAGAGCUCAUAUCGACGGAGUGGUUUGGCACCUCGAUGUCGGCUCGUCACAUCCUGGGGCUGGAGAAGGUCCCAAGGGUUGGGCUGUUCGCCCAUUAAAGUGGCACGCGAGCUGGGUUCAGAACGUCGUGAGACAGUUCGGUCUCUAUCUAUCGUGGGCGUAUGAAAUUUGCGUGGCUCUGACACUAGUACGAGAGGACCGUGUUGGACUGACCUCUGGUUUACCAGUUGUGCCGCCAGGUGCACCGCUGGGUAUCUAAGUCGGGAUCGGAUAAGCGCUGAAAGCAUCUAAGUGCGAAGCCGGCCACAAGAUGAGAUUUCCUCAUGAGGGUCGU